rnacentral:rRNA from 1 species
UACGUAGGGGGCAAGCGUUGUCCGGAUUUAUUGGGCGUAAAGAGCGUGUAGGCGGCCAAGCAGGUCCGCUGUGAAAACUCGAGGCUCAACCUCGAGACGUCGGUGGAAACCGUUUGGCUAGAGUCCGGAAGAGGAGAGUGGAAUUCCCGGUGUAGCGGUGAAAUGCGCAGAUAUCGGGAAGAACACCCGUGGCGAAGGCGACUCACUGGCCCGAUACUGACGCUGAGGCGCGAAAAGCGUGGGGAGCAAACAGG